rnacentral:rRNA from 1 species
UACAGAGGGGGCUAGCGUUGUUCGGAAUUACUGGGCGUAAAGGGCGCGUAGGCGGCCUGUUAAGUCGAACGUGAAAUCCCCGGGCUCAACCGGGGAACUGCGUCUGAGACUGGAAGGCUUGAAUCCGGGAGAGGGAUGUGGAAUUCCAGGUGUAGCGGUGAAAUGCGUAGAUAUCGGAAGGAACAUCAGUGGCGAAAGCGACUUCCUGGACCAAUACUGACGCUCAUGUGCGAAAGCGUGGGGAGCAAACAGG